GGGAAUAGCUCAGUCGGUAGAGCGCAAGCUUGCCAAGCUUGAGGUCGCGAGUUCGAACCUCGUUUCCC
rnacentral:tRNA from 1 species